AAAAAUUUUCAGGCAUCAACAAAAGUAAUUUCGCUGGACCUUUUCGCUUCCGAGUGGAUCAAAGAUGCUGACGGAAUAGGAGGAGGCAAUCGAAACGACCCUGACUGAUACAGUGGCUGGAAGGCCGCACUUCUUUGCCGGUUGCAGACCGCUUGGCGGACACUGGCGGGCUGAGCCCGGGGGGUGGAGCCCGGGACCGCAGAGGUGCGCUGCAGGCGCUCCGGAAAGGCUGGACUGGACCAAGGGCUUUCCUCUCGCGAGAGGCGGAAGGCCCGUAAAAUGUGGCCACGGCCCUUUCCACUAAUCGCAAAAGCUGUGGCUUGAAAUAGAAAGUAAAACAAGUUAGAAAGAAAGGAAAAAAGGCUUGUAAGUUUGCGUUGCCUUGCCACACGCAGUCCGACCCUGUUCUAACCACUUGUCCUGUGACUGGCACUGCUGUUGCUGAGGACAGACGAUGAAUAAUGCCUGUUCACAAGGGAAGCCUACAGGCCAAACUGGAAAACUGCAAGUUCCCCAUACAGAAGGAUGAUAACUUUGUCUUCUGCACCUCCCAACCUGACCAAAUGGUGAGCAGAGUUAUUUCUUGGAUGUGAAAAGGGCUGUGGACCAUCUUGAAAAGCCAAAGGAAGGUCCUAUUUCCAAGUCCCAAAGGCCUCCUGGCAGAUUUUCCCACUGGCCUGGCUGCAAGUGCCUAAAUCCAUUGUAAAAACUGUGUCUUCAUGGAGAUGUUGACCAAGUUUUGAGCGCUCUGUACUCCGGUAUUGCAGUCAAGGGCUGGAAAAGGCAGGAGAAAGAAAUCAAAGCAGGAACUGGAUUGUACAUCAGACUUGAUCUUUUAAAUCCCAAGCACCCAGACUAUUAUAAAAGUGUGAAGGCUGAGUGGGGGAAGGAGAACACUGUUGCCACAAGGAGGACCAGAAACAAAGACAAUCGUAUUCCCUCCCCCUCCCCACUCCUGCCAACCAUGCCCUGUUCCGGUUGCAUUUCU